rnacentral:tRNA from 1 species
GUUCCUGUAGUUAAAUUUUUAUAACGAUGGUUUUUCAGGCUAUAGAUCCUGGGGAAGAUCCAGGUGGGAACU